CAAACGCACACACCCGGACCCCGGUCUGCGUUUGUCCCUGCGGGCUGCGGCCCUGCCUCUUCUCGUCUCCCGUUCCCCUCGCCGCGUGAGCUCUCUCUCUCUCUCUCUCUCCUCUGUGGUGACGACUGGGCGCCCGCACCCCUGGCAGCCGCCGCCGCCCAGUCCCCGUCGGGCCCUUCGGCAGGUCUUCUUCGGCCCCUUCGCCGGCGACGAGCCGCACCAGGCGUACAUGUGUACACCCAGCCCAGGCCCUUAACUGCGCCCGCCCCUGCGACUGGUUUUCCUGCUGGUUUCUGUGGAUUUGGCUGCCGGAGGAUUGGUGCAGCCUUUAGGAUCACGGUAGAUUCGCUGUGAAAUCCGAAGGGUGCUCAGGUCAUGUUGGGGGACCAGCGCAUGAUACUGGGCUUAGACUCGGCAACCUCAUCAAGCACUGCCCCUGAUUUGACCCGCGCUGAAGAGGAUCCUUCUGUGAGCAGGAGCUGCGUGAUCGACCGCCUGCAGGUGGGGUGGGCGCAGAAGGGAGGACAGGUGGAGGGUCUGGUGAAUUGUUAUAGCAAGAAGAAGAACAAGACCGGCAGUGGUUCGAGGAAUCUUGCAGCCAGAGCCUGGUCCUCCGAGAUGGAGGGUUCUGAUGAGGGUGGAGAAGUCAACACGGGCGACCUCAUCGGCGGGAUCGGCAGGGAGUUGGCCAUUUCAUGCCUGCUCCGUCUUCCCCGGUCUUACUAUUAUGAUGUGGCAUGUGUUAAUCGAUCUUUCUACUCCCUUGUGAGGUUUGGGGAGCUUUACAGGUUGAGGCGUGAGGCUGGGAUCGUCGAGCAGAUGAUCUACUGCUCAUGCAAUGUUCUCGAGUGGGAAGGUUUUGAUCCGCGCCGCCAACGGUGGUUCAGCAUCCCUUCCAUGCCUCCCAUAGAAUGCUUCACACUUGCUGAUAAAGAAUCCCUGGCCGUGGGCACCAACAUCCUCGUCUUUGGGAAGAGGGUGGAAGCCCAUGUUGUGCUGAGGUAUAGCCUUCUCACUAACUCUUGGACUACAGGAGAAAUGAUGAACACACCAAGGUGCUUAUUUGGCUCCGCAAGCUUCGGUGAGAAGGCUAUUGUAGCUGGCGGUAUUGGCCAGAACGGUACAUUGGACUCUGCUGAGCUUUAUGAUUCUGAGAUGCAGACAUGGACCACUCUUCCAAGCAUGAAUAGGGCACGGCAGAUGUGCUCUGGUUUCUUCAUGGAUGGCAAGUUCUAUGUCAUCGGUGGGAAAUCUGAGAGGCACAAUGAGAUCCUUAGUUGUGCUGAGGAGUUUGACUUGGAGAGCAGCACCUGGCGCUUGAUCCCAGAUAUGGCACAGGGUCUUAAUGGUGGAAGUGGUGCUCCACCUCUUGUUGCUGUUGUGAAUAAUGAACUUUAUGCUGCUGACUAUGCAACGAAGGAGGUUAGGAAAUAUGACAAGGAAAAUAAUGCAUGGAUCACUCUUGGAUUGUUACCCGGGAGGUAUACAUCAGUUCAUGGCUGGGGCAUUGCUUUCCGUAGUUGUGGAGAUAUGCUCAUUGUAAUUGGUGCAAUGAGUGCUGGUGGUAGCGGGGUGAUUGAAAUUUGUUCCUGGGUACCCAAUAAUGGACUGCCAGAUUGGAAGAUCAUUGGCACCCGCCGUUCCGGAAGCUUUGUGUACAAUUGUGCUGUGAUGAGUUGUUGACAUACCAGGGCUAUUACAUUAUCAACUGUACAUCUUGACCAAAAGGAAGGAUAAAGAAGGCAAAUUCUGCUGAGUCUGUUUACUCCUUGAUGGGUAACUUCUGCCCACAGGCAUUUUAGGCUAAGCUGAAGGUAAGCUAUCUACUAUCUAUGAAGGCACAAGUUGGAUGAUAGCACAUUGUCUUCAUGAGCUUAUAAGUGUGGUGAUUAGUCAUGUAUAUGUUUAGCAUAUAAUAGGUGAUUGUGUAAUUCAGUUUGUGUAAUGGUCCAUUCAAACGUAACAAAAUCGAUAGGAGGAUGAACAGAAGAUUGACGUCUGUGUUCUGGGCCUGCUCUCUGAUGAGGGACACACAUCGGGCAUGCAUAUGUGAGCCCUUCAGCGGAUAUCAUAUGUUUGUAUGGUUUUCUGUCAGCUGAAUUGAACUUAAUAGCCAUUGCUUUUAAGUCUGACUAUUUGGAUCAUUCUUAUUAGUGGUUCGGAGAUAUGUCGUGAGUUCAGAUAAUUAAAUCUUUCUUGAAUUGUGAA